rnacentral:rRNA from 1 species
UACGUAGGUGGCAAGCGUUGUCCGGAUUUACUGGGCGUAAAGGGCGUGCAGGCGGUUUGUUAAGUGCAGGGUGAAAGCUCCCGGCUCAACUGGGAGAGGUCCUUGCAUACUGGCAAACUCGAGGGAGGCAGAGGAAAGUGGAAUUCCCGGUGUAGUGGUGAUAUGCGUAGAUAUCUGGAGGAACACCGGUGGCGAAGGCGGCAUCCUGGACCGAUACUGACACUGAGGAGCGAAAGCCAGGGGAGCAAACGGG